rnacentral:rRNA from 1 species
GACGAACGCUGGCGGCGUGCUUAACACAUGCAAGUCGAACGGUGAAGUUCCAGCUUGCUGGAGUGGAUCAGUGGCGAACGGGUGAGUAACACGUGAGCAACCUGCCCCUGACUCUGGAAUAAGCGCUGGAAACGGCGUCUAAUACUGGAUACGAGAAGGGUCCGCAUGGGCACUUUCUGGAAAGUUUUUCGGUUGGGGAUGGGCUCGCGGCCUAUCAGCUUGUUGGUGAGGUAAUGGCUCACCAAGGCGACGACGGGUAGCCGGCCUGAGAGGGCGACCGGCCACACUGGGACUGAGACACGGCCCAGACUCCUACGGGAGGCAGCAGUGGGGAAUAUUGCACAAUGGGCGAAAGCCUGAUGCAGCGACGCCGCGUGAGGGAUGACGGCCUUCGGGUUGUAAACCUCUUUCAGCAGGGAAGAAGCGAAAGUGACGGUACCUGCAGAAGAAGCACCGGCUAACUACGUG